AUGUCUGUCCUUGAGAGAGAGGAGUUGGACAGACAGCUGAACAGUGCCAAGACAGAGCUGUUUUCCGAGCAGCGGUGCUCUAGACUCAAACUGGACUCUAUGCAAGAGAAGUUGGACGAAGCUCACGAGGAGCUCCAGCGUGUAACAGAGGAGGAGAAGUUACUGAGGGACAGGUGUACAUGUCUGGAGGAGAAACACAGACUGAAACAGGAAGAGGAGAAGGCAGUGGAGGUGCAGGUGUGUGAGCUACAGAAAGAGCUGGGGGAGAGUGAGAGCAGGGUGGAGAGGAUAGUAGCCCAGAAGGAGCUGCAGCUGCUGGGGUUCCAGGAGGAGAGGAGUGCCUUGCAGGCAGAGAGAGAUGUGCUCCAGGGGGAGCUCCGGAGCCUGAGGAAGCUGCACAGCAUCUCCCUGAGAGAGACCCAGGAGCAGGCAACCACGCAGACGCAGCGAGAGCUGGAGCAGCUGAAGAAAGAGUUGGCUUUGUCUCAUGAGAAACACAUCCAGCAGACUCAUAUUCAAGCUGAAGAAGAGAAAACUGUUUCUCUCAGAGAACAGGCCCUGUCUCACACACAGCACAUUGAGUCCAUACAGAGCUGCAUCCAGAUGAAGGAGAAGGAGUGGUGGAAGCUGAGGGAGGCUCUUAAAGAGCAGAAGGAGGUGAUGAGGAGGCGAGAGGAGGAGCUGUGUGCGGAAGCUCAGGAGAUGAUGCACAGCACCAUAGACCGUGAGAGGAAGAAAUGGGCAGUAGAGAAAGAAGCGGCUCUACAGUUGCAGUGUGGGAUACUGGAGGACCAAGGCCGGGAGGCUCUGGAGAGAAUGAGGGGAGAGACUGAGAGAGAGAAGAGGAAUUCCUUGGCUCUUCAAAGCAAAGUGGUAGAACUGCAGACAGUAAGCAGAACCAAGAUAGGGCAGGAGGUAGCCUAG
rnacentral:lncRNA from 8 species